CACGAAGGUGGCAAGCGUUGUUCGGAUUUACUGGGCGUACAGGGAGCGUAGGCGGUUGGAUAAGCCCUCCGUGAAAUCUCCAGGCUUAACCUGGAAAGUGCAGAGGGGACUGUUCAGCUAGAGGAUGGGAGAGGAGCGCGGAAUUCCCGGUGUAGCGGUGAAAUGCGUAGAGAUCGGGAGGAAGGCCGGUGGCGAGGCGGCGCUCUGGAACAUUUCUGACGCUGAGGCUCGAAGCGUGGGGAGCAAACAGG
rnacentral:rRNA from 1 species